rnacentral:rRNA from 1 species
GGUUAAGUGAAUAAGGGCGCACGGUGGAUGCCUUGGCACUAGGAGCCGAUGAAGGACGGGACUAACACCGAUAUGCUUUGGGGAGCUGUAAGUAAGCUAUGAUCCAGAGAUUUCCGAAUGGGGGAACCCAAUAUCUUUUAUAGGAUAUUACUUUUCAGUGAAUACAUAGCUGAUUAGAGGUAGACGCAGAGAACUGAAACAUCUUAGUACCUGCAGGAAGAGAAAGAAAAUUCGAUUCCCUGAGUAGCGGCGAGCGAAACGGGAAGAGCCCAAACCAACAAGCUUGCUUGUUGGGGUUGUAGGACUCCAAUAUGGUAGUCUGUUAGUAUAGUUGAAGGAUUUGGAAAAUUCCGCUAAAGAGGGUGAAAGCCCCGUAGACGAAAUGCUAACAACACCUAGGAGGAUCCUGAGUACGGCGGAACACGAGAAAUUCCGUCGGAAUCCGCGGGGACCAUCCCGCAAGGCUAAAUACUCCCUAGUGACCGAUAGUGAACCAGUACCGUGAGGGAAAGGUGAAAAGCACCCCGGAAGGGGAGUGAAAUAGAUCCUGAAACCGUGUGCCUACAACAAGUCAAAGCUCGUUAAUGAGUGAUGGCGUGCCUUUUGUAGAAUGAACCGGCGAGUUACGAUUGCAUGCGAGGUUAAGUCGAAGAGACGGAGCCGCAGCGAAAGCGAGUCUGAAUAGGGCGAAUGAGUAUGUAGUCGUAGACCCGAAACCAUGUGAUCUACCCAUGUCCAGGUUGAAGGUGCGGUAAAACGCACUGGAGGACCGAACCCACGUACGUUGAAAAGUGCGGGGAUGAGGUGUGGGUAGCGGAGAAAUUCCAAACGAACUUGGAGAUAGCUGGUUCUCUCCGAAAUAGCUUUAGGGCUAGCCUCGGAAUUGAGAAUGAUGGAGGUAGAGCACUGUUUGGACUAGGGGCCCAUCUCGGGUUACCGAAUUCAGAUAAACUCCGAAUGCCAUUCAUUUAUAUCCGGGAGUCAGACUGCGAGUGAUAAGAUCCGUAGUCGAAAGGGAAACAGCCCAGACCACCAGCUAAGGUCCCAAAAUAUAUGUUAAGUGGAAAAGGAUGUGGGGUUGCACAGACAACUAGGAUGUUGGCUUAGAAGCAGCCACCAUUUAAAGAGUGCGUAAUAGCUCACUAGUCGAGUGACCCUGCGCCGAAAAUGUACCGGGGCUAAACAUAUUACCGAAGCUGUGGACUACACCAUUAGGUGUAGUGGUAGGAGAGCGUUCUAAGGGCGUUGAAGGUCGAUCGUGAGGACGGCUGGAGCGCUUAGAAGUGAGAAUGCCGGUAUGAGUAGCGAAAGACAGGUGAGAAUCCUGUCCACCGUAUGACUAAGGUUUCCUGGGGAAGGCUCGUCCGCCCAGGGUUAGUCGGGACCUAAGCCGAGGCCGAUAGGCGUAGGCGAUGGACAACAGGUUGAUAUUCCUGUACCAGUUGUUUUUGUUUGAGCAAUGGAGGGACGCAGUAGGCUAAGGAAUGCAUGCGAUUGGAAGUGCAUGUCCAAGCAAUGAGUCUUGAGUAGAGUUAAAUGCUUUACUCUUUAAGGACAAGUUGUGACGGGGAGCGAAAUAAUAGUAGCGAAGUUCCUGAUGUCACACUGCCAAGAAAAGCUUCUAGUGAGAAAACAACUGCCCGUACCGUAAACCGACACAGGUAGUCGAGGAGAGUAUCCUAAGGUGAGCGAGCGAACUCUCGUUAAGGAACUCGGCAAAAUGACCCCGUAACUUCGGGAGAAGGGGUGCUGACUUCGGUCAGC